UGAGUUUGAUCCUGGCUCAGGAUGAACGCUAGCGGUAUGCUUAACACAUGCAAGUCGUACGGAAAAGAAAUUUUUAGUGGCGAACGGGUGAGUAACACGUGAGAAUCUGCCUUUAGGAAGGGGAUAACAUUUAGAAACAUUUGCUAAUACCCUAUAUGCUUUACGGUGAAAGAAUUGAUUCGCCUAAAGAGGAGCUCGCGUCUGAUUAGCUAGUUGGUAGGGUAAAGGCCUACCAAGGCGACGAUCAGUAGUUGGUCUGAGAGGACGGCCAGCCACAUUGGAACUGAGACACGGUCCAGACUCUUACGGGAGGCAGCAGUGAGGAAUUUUCUGCAAUGGGCGCAAGCCUGACAGAGCAAUACCGCGUGAGGGAUGAAUGCCUACGGGUUGUAAACCUCUUUUCUCAAGGAGGAAGAUAUGACGUUACUUGAGGAAUAAGCAUCGGCUAACUCUGUGCCAGCAGCCGCGGUAAUACAGGGGAUGCAAGUGUUAUCCGGAAUUAUUGGGCGUAAAGCGUCUGCAGGUUGAUCUAUAAGUCUUUUGUUAAAUCUUUAGGCUUAACCUAAAAACAGCAAAAGAAACUAUUUAUCUUGAGUAUGGUAGAGGUAAGGGGAAUUUC
rnacentral:rRNA from 1 species